GUAUGUUUUGUCCUUUUUUGAUACAGUUAAUGUCCAGGGGUCAGUAUUACGAAGCAUUCCUAAGACCUGUCAUAAGAUAUUUCUUAAGGACAUGUCCUAUGAUCCUCUUAUGACUAUCUAUGGACAUAUCUUUAUUUGAUGAAUUAUAAUUGUGAGUGUCCACUUUGAAGGCAAUAGUAAAAUACUGUCUUUCUAGUUGACACCAAAAGACAUAAGAGGAUGGCCAGGAUAGAUGUGUCUACAAAUAAAAUUGGGAAUGGAAAAAGGGUAUGUGUCUAAAUGUCUAAAAGACAACAAAGAGGGACGAAAGAUACCAAAGUCAAACUCAUAAAUCAAAAAUAAACUGACAACGCCAUGGCUAAAAAUAAAAAAGAC
rnacentral:lncRNA from 1 species